GGACUACAGGGGUAUCUAAUCCCGUUCGCUCCCCUAGCUUUCGCACCUGAGCGUCAGGUACCACCCAGGACACUGCCUUCGCCUUUGGUGUUCCUCCGGAUAUCUACGCAUUUCACCACUACACCCGGAAUUCCGUGUCCCUCUGUGGCCCUCAAGUCCUGCAGUCUUCAAGGCGCUCUCCCAGUUGAGCCGGGAGCUGUAACCCCAAACUUACACGACCGCCUGCGUGCCCUUUACGCCCAGUAACUCCGGAUAACGCUCGCCCCCUACGUAUUACCGCGGCGGCUGGCAC
rnacentral:rRNA from 1 species